UUCACAAGCAUAUACAAAAGUUGCUGCGUUUAAAAAGCUCGUAGUUGGAUCUGUUAUUCGAGACCCGCACAACUAGCAUCGCCUUCUGGUGGGCUAGGGGUCUUGAUUUCCUUGACGUCGAGAGUGCUUGCGCUUAAUUGUGUCGAGCAUUCGAGACGUUAGUUUUACUUUGAAUAAAUUAGAGUGUUCAAAGCAGCCUUUGGGUAUGGAUAUAUGAGCAUGGAAUAAUGGAAAAGGACUGUUUCCCAGUGGUCUAUGGCGAAACGGUAAUGAUUAAAAGGGACAGGCGGCGGCAUUCGUAUUGCCACGUUAGAGGUGAAAUUCUUGGAUCGUGGAAAGACGAACGACUGCGAAAGCAUUUGCCGAGGAUGUUUUCAUUAA
rnacentral:rRNA from 1 species